UACAGAGACUGCAAGCGUUGUUCGGAUUUACCGGGCGUAAAGGGCGCGUAGGCGGCGUGACAAGUCACUUGUGAAAUCUCCGGGCUUAACUCGGAACGGUCAAGUGAUACUGUCGUGCUAGAGUACAGAAGGGGGCAAACUGGAAUUCUCGGUGUAGCGGUGAAAUGCGUAGAUAUCGAGAGGAACACCUGCGGCGAAGGCGGGUUGCUGGGCUGACACUGACGCUGAUGCGCGAAAAGCCAGGGGGAGCGAACGGG
rnacentral:rRNA from 1 species